AUUGAACGCUGGCGGCAGGCCUAACACAUGCAAGUCGAGCGGAAACGAUCCUAGCUUGCUAGGAGGCGUCGAGCGGCGGACGGGUGAGUAACGCGUGAGAAUCUACCCAUGAGUGGGGGACAACCCGGGGAAACUCGGGCUAAUACCGCAUACGCCUACGGGGUAAAGCAGGGGACCUUCGGGCCUUGCGCUGAUGGAUGAGCUCGCGUCGGAUUAGCUUGUUGGUGAGGUAAAGGCUCACCAAGGCGACGAUCCGUAGCUGGUCUGAGAGGAUGAUCAGCCACACCGGGACUGAGACACGGCCCGGACUCCUACGGGAGGCAGCAGUGGGGAAUCUUGGACAAUGGGGGCAACCCUGAUCCAGCCAUGCCGCGUGUGUGAAGAAGGCCUUCGGGUUGUAAAGCACUUUCAGCAGGGAGGAAGGCUUACCCCUAAUACGGGUGAGUACUUGACGUUACCUGCAGAAGAAGCACCGGCUAAUUUCGUG
rnacentral:rRNA from 1 species